AGGUGACGCAGCAGACUGAGACAGUUACUCAGUUAAUCACCUAGUUGAGUUGGUUUCCCAGUUUGUGUGUGUCCAUUACCACAAGUUCCUCACCUAGUGAGGAAAAUGGUUGUGAUGUUGAUGAUGAAGAGGCUCCUCAGACACAGACUGCCCCACCUGGACCUCACCAUCUCUCCCAGUCCAGAGCAGCAGGUCCAACAGUCUCAUCUGAAGGUAUUUCCUGGGACCUGCAAGGAA